GUAAGCAUAGUUUACCCAAAACAUUAGAUUGUGAUUCUAAAAAUAGGAGUUUAAACCCCCUUGCUCACC
rnacentral:tRNA from 1 species